UAUACCUCCAUGUAUAGACCAUGAUAAUAGAUGUUCACACACUUCAUAUAAAAACUUAUUGUGCAACCCAAAUGCACUACCGGAUACAAAGAAAUAUGCCAUUCAAACUUGUCCGUUGACAUGUAACUAUUGCGCUGAAUAUGUAGGUCCUCCUUGUGAAGACAAAAUGAACUGCACCAUACUUGUUGCCAGCAACAUGUGUAAUGUGCCUACAGUUAAAAACCUCUGUCCAAAGUCUUGCAAUCACUGUUCGCAAGUAACGGUUGACAGUGUACUACUAGUUGGAUAAAACAAUCAAUUAAAAUAUGUUUGCAAUAGAA